rnacentral:rRNA from 1 species
UCGCGGUAUGGGAUGGGGUCGCGUCCUAUCAGCUUGACGGCGGGGUAACGGCCCACCGUGGCUUCGACGGGUAGCCGGCCUGAGAGGGCGACCGGCCACAUUGGGACUGAGAUACGGCCCAGACUCCUACGGGAGGCAGCAGUGGGGAAUAUUGCACAAUGGGCGCAAGCCUGAUGCAGCGACGCCGCGUGAGGGAUGGAGGCCUUCGGGUUGUAAACCUCUUUUAUCGGGGAGCAAGCGAGAGUGAGUUUACCCGUUGAAUAAGCACCGGCUAACUACGUGCCAGCAGCCGCGGUAAUACGUAGGGUGCAAGCGUUAUCCGGAAUUAUUGGGCGUAAAGGGCUCGUAGGCGGUUCGUCGCGUCCGGUAUGAAAGUCCAUCGCUUAACGGUGGAUCCGCGCCGGGUACGGGCGGG